CACGUAGUUAGCCGGGGCUUCUUAGUCAGGUACCGUCAUCUUCUUCCCUGCUGAUAGAGCUUUACAUACCGAAAUACUUCUUCACUCACGCGGCGUCGCUGCAUCAGGGUUUCCCCCAUUGUGCAAUAUUCCCCACUGCUGCCCCCCGUAGGAGUUUGGGCCGUGUCUCAGUCCCAAUGUGGCCGGUCACUCUCUCAAGCCGGCUACUGAUCGCUGCCUUGGUAGGCCGUUACCCUGCCAACUAGCUAAUCAGACGCGGGCCCAUCCUGUACCACCGGAGUUUUUCACACCGUGCCAUGCGGCACUGUGCGCUUAUGCGGUAUUAGCACCCAUUUCUGGGUGUUAUCCCCCGGUACAGGGCAGGUUGCCCACGCGUUACUCACCCGUCCGCCACUCAGUCACUACCCCUCUUCCGCCCGGAGGCUUCCGUGGUGUAUGCUUCGUUCGACUUGCAUGUGUUAGGCACGCCGCAGCGUUCAUCCUGACGCCAGGAUCGAAACUCUACG
rnacentral:rRNA from 1 species